rnacentral:rRNA from 1 species
GCAUGUGGUUUAAUUUGAAAAUACGCGUAGAACCUUACCCACUCUUGACAUCUUCUGCAAAGCUAUAGAGAUAUAGUGGAGGUUAACAGAAUGACAGAUGGUGCAUGGUUGUCGUCAGCUCGUGUCGUGAGAUGUUAGGUUAAGUCCUGCAACGAGCGCAACCCUUUUCUUUAGUUACUAAUAUUAAGUUAAGGACUCUAGAGAUACUGCCUGGGUAACCAGGAGGAAGGUGGGGACGACGUCAAAUCAUCAUGCCUCUUACGAGUGGGGCAACACACGUGCUACAAUGGUCGGUACAAAGAGAAGCAAUAUGGUGACAUGGAGCAAAUCUCAAAAAACCGAUCUCAGUUCGGAUUGAAGUCUGCAACUCGACUUCAUGAAGUCGGAAUCGCUAGUAAUCGUAGAUCAGCUACGCUACGGUGAAUACGUUCUCGGGUUUUGUACACACCGCC